rnacentral:rRNA from 1 species
AAUCAACGCUGGCGGCGUGCCUAACACAUGCAAGUCGCACGAGAAAGGGUCUUCGGAUCUGAGUAAAGUGGCGCACGGGUGAGUAACACGUGAAUUAUCUACCUUCGAGUGGGGAAUAACUUCGGGAAACCGAGGUUAAUACCGCAUAAUAUCUACGGAUCAAAGCAGUAAUGCGCUUGAAGAGGAGUUCGCGGCAGAUUAGUUAGUUGGCGGUGUAAUGGCCCACCAAGACGAUGAUAUGUAUCCGGCCUGAGAGGGCGCACGGACACACGGGAGCUGAACCACGGUCCAGUCUACUCCGGGAGGCAGCAGUGGGGAAUUUUGCGCAAUGGGGGAAACCCUGACGCAGCAACGCCGCGUGGAGAAUGAAGUCUCUUGGGACGUAAACCCCUUUCGGUAGGGAAGAUUAUGACGGUACCUAUAGAGGAAGCCCCGGCUAACUUCGUGCCAGCCGCCGCCGUAA